UACGAAGGGGGCUAGCGUUGUUCGGAAUUACUGGGCGUAAAGGGCUCGUAGGUGGUUUGUCGCGUUGUUCGUGAAAACUCACAGCUCAACUGUGGGCGUGCGGGCGAUACGGGCAGACUUGAGUACUGCAGGGGAGACUGGAAUUCCUGGUGUAGCGGUGGAAUGCGCAGAUAUCAGGAGGAACACCGGUGGCGAAGGCGGGUCUCUGGGCAGUAACUGACGCUGAGGAGCGAAAGCGUGGGGAGCGAACCGG
rnacentral:rRNA from 1 species